AUGCUGGAUCUACCACGCGCCAAGUUCGUCUUCCUCUUCGUGCAGCUGCCGUGGUGCGAUUUCCGCGAGGAGAACGCCGUGGAACGCUCCCUCCGGAUCGGCCUGUGGUGCUGCGCCGUGCUCCAGGCGGCCACGGCGGCGCUGGCUCUGCUGCUCCCGUGCCGGCGCCACCGCCGGAUCCGCCGUGCCGUUGCCUACCUCGCCGUCGCGGUCGCCAUCGUCAGCCACUGUAUUUUGGCCAGCCUCGUCCUCCUCUCCGCCGACGCAGGACUAGGGUACCUCUUGCUCAUCCCCUUGAUCGUCUACGCCGCGGCGGCGCUGGUGCUGCUACUCCCGUGCCGUUGCCUCCGGAUCCGCCAUGCCCUCGCCUGCCUCACCGUCGCGGUGGCGGUCGCCAUCCUCGGCUGCUGUAUUUUGGCGAGCUUCGUCCCCAUCGCUGCCGACACAGGACUAGGCUGGCUCAUUCUUUCGGUCGUCGGCCCGGCGUUCAUCUUCACCCUUGCGGUGGGCGACCUCAGCUUCCUGGCCCUCCUCCGGGGAGGGGAAUUCCCCUGGGAGUUCCGCUGA
rnacentral:rRNA from 1 species